AUUGAACGCUGGCGGAAUGCUUUACACAUGCAAGUCGAACGGCAGCACGGGUGCUUGCACCUGGUGGCGAGUGGCGAACGGGUGAGUAAUACAUCGGAACGUACCCAGUUGUGGGGGAUAACUAACCGAAAGGUUAGCUAAUACCGCAUACGACCUGAGGGUGAAAGCGGGGGACCGUAAGGCCUCGCGCAAUUGGAGCGGCCGAUGUCUGAUUAGCUAGUUGGUAGGGUAAAGGCCUACCAAGGCGACGAUCAGUAGCUGUCUGAGAGGAUGAUCAGCCACACUGGAACUGAGACACGGUCCAGACUCCUACGGGAGGCAGCAGUGGGGAAUUUUGGACAAUGGGCGAAAGCCUGAUCCAGCCAUUCCGCGUGAGUGAAGAAGGCCUUCGGGUUGUAAAGCUCUUUCGGCAGGGAAGAAACGGCCUAGGUUAAUACCUUGGGCUAAUGACGGUACCUGAAGAUGAAGCACCGGCUAACUACGUGCCAGCCGCCGCAGUAA
rnacentral:rRNA from 1 species